rnacentral:lncRNA from 1 species
CUUCUCCUUCUUCUUUUCUUCUUCUUCUCCUCUUCCUCCUUCUUCUCCUCCUUCUCCUCCUUCUUCUCCUUCUCCUUCUCCUUCUUCUUUUCUUCUUCUUCUCCUCUUCCUUCUCCUCCUCCUCCUCCUCCUCAUCCUUCUUCUUCUUCUAUUUCUCUUCUUCUAUGUAGCUUAGACUCAUCCAAGAAAGACUAAAUUGCCUAAUUAUCCUACAAAAUGACAUAAUUAGCUUAGUUAGCUCCUAAGUAACCUAUUU